UUAAGCGACUAAGCGUACACGGUGGAUGCCCUGGCAGUCAGAGGCGAUGAAGGACGUGCUAAUCUGCGAAAAGCGCCGGUAAGGUGAUAUGAACCGCUAUAGCCGGCGAUGUCCGAAUGGGGAAACCCGGUGCACUUCGGUGCAUCAUCAUGUCAUGAAUACAUAGUGGCAUGAGGCGAACCGGGGGAACUGAAACAUCUAAGUACCCCGAGGAAAAGAAAUCAACCGAGAUUCCCCCAGUAGCGGCGAGCGAACGGGGAGCAGCCCAGAGCCUGAAUCAGCUUGUGCGUUAGUGGAACGGUCCGGAAAGGCCGGCGAUACAGGGUGACAGCCCCGUACACAAAAGCGCACUGGCUGUGAGCUCGAUGAGUAGGGCGGGACACGUGGUAUCCUGUCUGAAUAUGGGGGGACCAUCCUCCAAGGCUAAAUACUCCUGACUGACCGAUAGUGAACCAGUACCGUGAGGGAAAGGCGAAAAGAACCCCGGCGAGGGGAGUGAAAAGAACCUGAAACCGUGUACGUACAAGCAGUGGGAGCCUCAUUUAUGGGGUGACUGCGUACCUUUUGUAUAAUGGGUCAGCGACUUAUAUUCUGUAGCAAGGUUAACCGCAUAGGGGAGCCGAAGGGAAACCGAGUCUUAACCGGGCGCUAAGUUGCAGGGUAUAGACCCGAAACCCGGUGAUCUAGCCAUGGGCAGGUUGAAGGUUGGGUAACACUAACUGGAGGACCGAACCGACUAAUGUUGAAAAAUUAGCGGAUGACUUGUGGCUGGGGGUGAAAGGCCAAUCAAACCGGGAGAUAGCUGGUUCUCCCCGAAAGCUAUUUAGGUAGCGCCUCGUGAAUUCAUCUCCGGGGGUAGAGCACUGUUUCGGCUAGGGGGCCAUCCCGGCUUACCAACCCGAUGCAAACUGCGAAUACCGGAGAAUGUUAUCACGGGAGACACACGGCGGGUGCUAACGUCCGUCGUGAAGAGGGAAACAACCCAGACCGCCAGCUAAGGUCCCAAAGUCAUGGUUAAGUGGGAAACGAUGUGGGAAGGCCCAGACAGCCAGGAUGUUGGCUUAGAAGCAGCCAUCAUUUAAAGAAAGCGUAAUAGCUCACUGGUCGAGUCGGCCUGCGCGGAAGAUGUAACGGGGCUAAACCAUGCACCGAAGCUGCGGCAGCGAACGUAUCACUUAAAACGUUUUGUAAGGCUUAACGAUUGACGGAGCGCAGCGACGUCAAUGCGUUCAUUAAAGUCGAGGCGUUUUAGGGAUACGUUCGUUGGGUAGGGGAGCGUUCUGUAAGCCGUCGAAGGUGGCCUGUGAGGGCUGCUGGAGGUAUCAGAAGUGCGAAUGCUGACAUAAGUAACGAUAAAGCGGGUGAAAAGCCCGCUCGCCGGAAGACCAAGGGUUCCUGUCCAACGUUAAUCGGGGCAGGGUGAGUCGACCCCUAAGGCGAGGCCGAAAGGCGUAGUCGAUGGGAAACGGGUUAAUAUUCCCGUACUUGGUGUUGCUGCGAAGGGGGGACGGAGAAGGCUAUGUUAGCCGGGCGACGGUUGUCCCGGUUUAAGCAUGUAGGCGGGCGUUCCAGGUAAAUCCGGAAGGCCGUUAACGCUGAGGUGUGACGACGAGGCGCUACGGCGCUGAAGUAACAAAUGCCCAGCUUCCAGGAAAAGCCUCUAAGCAUCAGGCAACACGAAAUCGUACCCCAAACCGACACAGGUGGUCAGGUAGAGAAUACCCAGGCGCUUGAGAGAACUCGGGUGAAGGAACUAGGCAAAAUGGUGCCGUAACUUCGGGAGAAGGCACGCUGUCGUUAGGUGAAGUGACUUGCUCACGGAGCUGAAGGCAGUCGAAGAUACCAGCUGGCUGCAACUGUUUAUUAAAAACACAGCACUGUGCAAACACGAAAGUGGACGUAUACGGUGUGACGCCUGCCCGGUGCCGGAAGGUUAAUUGAUGGGGUUAGCGGCAACGCGAAGCUCUUGAUCGAAGCCCCGGUAAACGGCGGCCGUAACUAUAACGGUCCUAAGGUAGCGAAAUUCCUUGUCGGGUAAGUUCCGACCUGCACGAAUGGCGUAAUGAUGGCCAGGCUGUCUCCACCCGAGACUCAGUGAAAUUGAACUCGCUGUGAAGAUGCAGUGUACCCGCGGCAAGACGGAAAGACCCCGUGAACCUUUACUACAGCUUGACACUGAACACUGGUCCUUGAUGUGCAGGAUAGGUGGGAGGCUUUGAAGCGGGGACGCCAGUUCCCGUGGAGCCGCCCUUGAAAUACCACCCUUUAAUGGCUGGUGUUCUAACGUUGGCCCGUAAUCCGGGCUGCGGACAGUGUCUGGUGGGUAGUUUGACUGGGGCGGUCUCCUCCCAAAGCGUAACGGAGGAGCACGAAGGUCAGCUAAUCACGGUCGGACAUCGUGAGGUUAGUGCAAAGGCAUAAGCUGGCUUGACUGCGAGCGUGACGGCGCGAGCAGGUGCGAAAGCAGGUCUUAGUGAUCCGGUGGUUCUGAAUGGAAGGGCCAUCGCUCAACGGAUAAAAGGUACUCCGGGGAUAACAGGCUGAUACCGCCCAAGAGUUCAUAUCGACGGCGGUGUUUGGCACCUCGAUGUCGGCUCAUCACAUCCUGGGGCUGAAGUAGGUCCCAAGGGUAUGGCUGUUCGCCAUUUAAAGUGGUACGCGAGCUGGGUUUAGAACGUCGUGAGACAGUUCGGUCCCUAUCUGCCGUGGGCGCUGGAGAACUGAGGGGGGCUGCUCCUAGUACGAGAGGACCGGAGUGGACGCAUCACUGGUGUUCGGGUUGUCAUGCCAAUGGCACUGCCCGGUAGCUAAAUGCGGAAGAGAUAAGCGCUGAAAGCAUCUAAGCGCGAAACUUGCCCCGAGAUGAGUUCUCCCUGACCCCCUGAGGGUCCUGAAGGGACGUUGAAGACGACGACGUUGAUAGGCCGGAUGUGUAAGCGCAGCGAUGCGUUGAGCUAACCGGUACUAAUGACCCGUGAGGCUUAACCUU
rnacentral:rRNA from 1 species